rnacentral:rRNA from 1 species
UGAACGCUGGCGGUGUGCCUAACACAUGCAAGUCGAACGAGCAGCCACGAUUUCUUCGGAUAUUGUGGUGGGCGAGUGGCGAACGGGUGCGUAACACGUAGGGACCUACCCCGAGGAGAGGGACAACCGGUGGAAACGCCGGCUAAGCCCGCAUAGUCUCAACCUCUGAGUUGAGUAAAGCUCCGGCGCCUUGGGAGGGUCCUGCGGCCUAUCAGGUAGUUGGUGGGGUAACGGCCCACCAAGCCGACGACGGGUAGGGGGCGUGAGAGCGUGGCCCCCCACACGGGAACUGAGACACGGUCCCGACGCCUACGGGCGGCAGCAGUGAGGAAUCUUGCGCAAUGGGGGAAACCCUGACGCAGCGACACCGCGUGCGGGAUGAAGGCUUUCGGGUCGUAAACCGCUUUUCUGUGGGACGAGGACGGACGGUACCACAGGAAUAAGUCCCGGCUAACUAC